rnacentral:rRNA from 1 species
GGGUUGUGAGGUUAAGCGACUAAGCGUACACGGUGGAUGCCCUGGCAGUCAGAGGCGAUGAAGGACGUGCUAAUCUGCGAAAAGCGCCGGCGAGGUGAUAUGAACCCUUGACCCGGCGAUGUCCGAAUGGGGAAACCCAGUGUGAUUCGUCACACUAUCGUUAACUGAAUACAUAGGUUAACGAGGCGAACCGGGGGAACUGAAACAUCUAAGUACCCCGAGGAAAAGAAAUCAACCGAGAUUCCCCCAGUAGCGGCGAGCGAACGGGGAGCAGCCCGGAGUCUGAAUCAGCUUGUGUGUUAGUGGAACGGUCUGGAAAGUCCGACGGUACAGGGUGAUAGUCCCGUACACGAAAGCACACUUGCUGUGAACUCGAAGAGUAGGGCGGGACACGUGGUAUCCUGUCUGAAUAUGGGGGGACCAUCCUCCAAGGCUAAAUACUCCUGACUGACCGAUAGUGAACCAGUACCGUGAGGGAAAGGCGAAAAGAACCCCGGCGAGGGGAGUGAAAAAGAACCUGAAACCGUGUACGUACAAGCAGUGGGAGCACCUUCGUGGUGUGACUGCGUACCUUUUGUAUAAUGGGUCAGCGACUUAUAUUCUGUAGCAAGGUUAACCGUAUAGGGGAGCCGAAGGGAAACCGAGUCUUAACUGGGCGUUAAGUUGCAGGGUAUAGACCCGAAACCCGGUGAUCUAGCCAUGGGCAGGUUGAAGGUUGGGUAACACUAACUGGAGGACCGAACCGACUAAUGUUGAAAAAUUAGCGGAUGACCUGUGGCUGGGGGUGAAAGGCCAAUCAAACCGGGAGAUAGCUGGUUCUCCCCGAAAGCUAUUUAGGUAGCGCCUCGUGAACUCAUCUUCGGGGGUAGAGCACUGUUUCGGCUAGGGGGCCAUCCCGGCUUACCAACCCGAUGCAAACUACGAAUACCGAAGAAUGUUAUCACGGGAGACACACGGCGGGUGCUAACGUCCGUCGUGAAGAGGGAAACAACCCAGACCGCCAGCUAAGGUCCCAAAGUCAUGGUUAAGUGGGAAACGAUGUGGGAAGGCACAGACAGCCAGGAUGUUGGCUUAGAAGCAGCCAUCAUUUAAAGAAAGCGUAAUAGCUCACUGGUCGAGUCGGCCUGCGCGGAAGAUGUAACGGGGCUAAACCAUGCACCGAAGCUGCGGCAGCGACACUAUGUGUUGUUGGGUAGGGGAGCGUUCUGUAAGCCGUUGAAGGUGUGCUGUGAGGCAUGCUGGAGGUAUCAGAAGUGCGAAUGCUGACAUAAGUAACGAUAAAGCGGGUGAAAAGCCCGCUCGCCGGAAGACCAAGGGUUCCUGUCCAACGUUAAUCGGGGCAGGGUGAGUCGACCCCUAAGGCGAGGCCGAAAGGCGUAGUCGAUGGGAAACAGGUUAAUAUUCCUGUACUUGGUGUUACUGCGAAGGGGGGACGGAGAAGGCUAUGUCAGCCGGGCGACGGUUGUCCCGGUUUAAGCAUGUAGGCGGAGGUUCCAGGUAAAUCCGGUACCUUAUUAACGCUGAGGUGUGAUGACGAGGCACUACGGUGCUGAAGUGAUAAAUGCCCUGCUUCCAGGAAAAGCCUCUAAGCAUCAGGUAACACGAAAUCGUACCCCAAACCGACACAGGUGGUCAGGUAGAGAAUACCAAGGCGCUUGAGAGAACUCGGGUGAAGGAACUAGGCAAAAUGGUGCCGUAACUUCGGGAGAAGGCACGCUGAUGUGUAGGUGAAGUCCCUGCGGACGGAGCUGAAAUCAGUCGAAGAUACCAGCUGGCUGCAACUGUUUAUUAAAAACACAGCACUGUGCAAACACGAAAGUGGACGUAUACGGUGUGACGCCUGCCCGGUGCCGGAAGGUUAAUUGAUGGGGUUAGCUGUAAGGCGAAGCUCUUGAUCGAAGCCCCGGUAAACGGCGGCCGUAACUAUAACGGUCCUAAGGUAGCGAAAUUCCUUGUCGGGUAAGUUCCGACCUGCACGAAUGGCGUAAUGAUGGCCAGGCUGUCUCCACCCGAGACUCAGUGAAAUUGAACUCGCUGUGAAGAUGCAGUGUACCCGCGGCAAGACGGAAAGACCCCGUGAACCUUUACUAUAGCUUGACACUGAACACUGGUCCUUGAUGUGUAGGAUAGGUGGGAGGCUUUGAAGCGUGGACGCCAGUCUGCGUGGAGCCGCCCUUGAAAUACCACCCUUUAAUGGCUGGUGUUCUAACGUAGACCCGUAAUCCGGGUUGCGGACAGUGUCUGGUGGGUAGUUUGACUGGGGCGGUCUCCUCCCAAAGAGUAACGGAGGAGCACGAAGGUUGGCUAAUCCUGGUCGGACAUCAGGAGGUUAGUGCAAUGGCAUAAGCCAGCUUGACUGCGAGCGUGACGGCGCGAGCAGGUGCGAAAGCAGGUCAUAGUGAUCCGGUGGUUCUGAAUGGAAGGGCCAUCGCUCAACGGAUAAAAGGUACUCCGGGGAUAACAGGCUGAUACCGCCCAAGAGUUCAUAUCGACGGCGGUGUUUGGCACCUCGAUGUCGGCUCAUCACAUCCUGGGGCUGAAGUAGGUCCCAAGGGUAUGGCUGUUCGCCAUUUAAAGUGGUACGCGAGCUGGGUUUAGAACGUCGUGAGACAGUUCGGUCCCUAUCUGCCGUGGGCGCUGGAGAAUUGAGGGGGGCUGCUCCUAGUACGAGAGGACCGGAGUGGACGCAUCACUGGUGUUCGGGUUGUCAUGCCAAUGGCACUGCCCGGUAGCUAAAUGCGGAAGAGAUAAGUGCUGAAAGCAUCUAAGCACGAAACUUGCCCCGAGAUGAGUUCUCCCUGAGACUUUAAGUCUCCUGAAGGAACGUU